rnacentral:rRNA from 1 species
UACGAAGGGGGCUAGCGUUGCUCGGGAUGACUGGGCGUAAAGGGCGCGUAGGCGGAGUGCUUUGUCGGGCGUGAAAUUCCAGGGCUCAACCUUGGGGCUGCGUUCGAGACGGGCAUUCUAGAGUUCGGAAGAGGGUCGUGGAAUUCCCAGUGUAGAGGUGAAAUUCGUAGAUAUUAGGAAGAACACCAGUGGCGAAGGCGGCUCACUGGUCCGGUACUGACGCUGAGGUGCGAAAGCGUGGGGAGCAAACAGG